rnacentral:rRNA from 1 species
AUGAAGGAAGCGUCAGCGACGACCUCAGGCGAGAGGCAUGUAAUGCAGGUAAUACUAGAGCUUCCAGCCUCCUCAGGCUGGCGUGGGAACAUCAGUAAGGGCUUGGAGCCUGUCAAAGAGGAGGCAAAGAGGACACUGCUGAUGAAACAUGAGGCCGAGACAAAAACAAAUGCCUAUUGGCUCAGUUUGCUAACCCAUAUGCAGUCUGCAUUCGUGCCGAGAAAGCGGCAACUAGGAGCUGCCGCGUGGGAACUACGUGUUCGAGGAGCAGGUCAUGUGCCUGGUGCUAGACGUGAUGGCAUGGGAUCAGACCAUCAUUACCAACUACCAGCAACAGAACGCGCAAGUCGUCUACGGCCUCGGCAUGACGUGUUGCCCUUUGCGCCAGCGUAG